UCAGUCACUCUUCACUGAAUAUUCGUCUAGUGCCUCGCUAACUUUUCCUUGUAAUAUCUGUGUUUGUCCUUGCUCUCAACGAAAUUGCUACUUGCCCAGGGGAGGAAGGCCUAUAAAUGGACCAGCAUGUCGGUCUGCAGUCCUGCACCAGUGUCUAGCUGAAUUUUAGAGCUGUUCCUUUUCAGGUAAGGGUACGGCACUAGGUUUCAUUCCUGAGUUGGGCUGGAUGUACCGUUGUCCGAGGUUUCUGCCUAUGAUUUCUCAUACAAUUUACUCUUUUAUUUGCAGGGUCAUCUUGGCCGAACAUUUCAGCUUGUAGCCUUCAGCGAUCUCUGGAAGAAGAUGGGGCGUAACGGUGUCAAGAAGAGCAUCUGGGAGUUCCUGUGCGGCUGUUCCUCGCCUCGGACGAGCAAAUGAUUAAGGCCAAAAUGCAUGACAAAGCGAGAGGUUAAGUGUCUAAUGGUUCCUAAUAGAUGAAAUUCUUCCGAAUAGGUCUCCACAAAGUUGCUUUAUGUUAAGCUUAAAAAGUUUGUGUUUAGAUAUUGCUCGGUUCUUUGGUUAAAUUGGUUUGUAGUCUUGGGGUUGUGUCGUUCUUCUGCAGCAAGGAGCAUGUAAAACCGUGUCGUGUGUAAUCAUAUUCCGAAAUAAAUAUCUCUCGCAUAUUUGUCCGUCA
rnacentral:lncRNA from 1 species